UCUGCCUAGUAGUGGGGGAUAACUUGCCGAAAGGUAAGCUAAUACCGCGUACGUCCUACGGGAGAAAGCAGGGGCCUCUUCGGAGCCUUGUGCUAUUAGAUGAGCCUAGGUCAGAUUAGCUAGUUGGUGAGGUAAAGGCUCACCAAGGCGACGAUCUGUAACUGGUCUGAGAGGAUGAUCAGUCACACUGGAACUGAGACACGGUCCAGACUCCUACGGGAGGCAGCAGUGGGGAAUAUUGGACAAUGGGGGAAACCCUGAUCCAGCCAUGCCGCGUGUGUGAAGAAGGUCUUCGGAUUGUAAAGCACUUUAAGUUGGGAGGAAGGGCUUACGGUUAAUACCCGCUAAGUUUUGACGUUACCAACAGAAUAAGCACCGGCUAACUUCGUGCCAGCAGCCGCGGUAAUACGAAGGGUGCAAGCGUUAAUCGGAAUUACUGGGCGUAAAGCGCGCGUAGGUGGUUUGUUAAGUUGGAAGUGAAAGCCCCGGGCUCAACCUGGGAAUUGCUUUCAAAACUAGCAGGCUAGAGUACAGUAGAGGGUAGUGGAAUUUCCUGUGUAGCGGUGAAAUGCGUAGAUAUAGGAAGGAACAUCAGUGGCGAAGGCGACUACCUG
rnacentral:rRNA from 1 species